AUGCUACUAUAUUUUAAAGCUUAUAUAUCGUCAUGAUAGGGAUGACAGUUUCUACCUUGUGCCGUAAACGCAAGACUAUAAGCAAAAAUCGUACGUUU
rfam:Enterococcus pallens ATCC BAA-351 genomic scaffold acvKb-supercont1.7, whole genome shotgun sequence.